UACAGAGGUCCCAAGCGUUGUUCGGAUUUACUGGGCGUAAAGGGUGCGUAGGUGGUCGGGUAAGUCUCAUGUGAAAUCCCGUAGCUUAACUGCGGAACGGCAUGGGAUACUAUUCGGCUCGAGGAUUGGAGGGGGACUGGAAUUCCCGGUGUAGCAGUGAAAUGCGUAGAUAUCGGGAGGAACACCGGUGGCGAAGGCGGGUCUCUGGGCCGAUACUGACGCUGAGGAGCGAAAGCGUGGGAGC
rnacentral:rRNA from 1 species